rnacentral:rRNA from 1 species
UCAGCGAGGGUGGAGUGUUAUAAAAAANAAUCGAUGGGCCGUANUCUCAGCUCCCGGCCGCCAUGGUUCCGCCGCGGGAUUCGAUUGAGUUUGAUCCUGGCUCAGGAUGAACGCUGGCGGCGUGCUUAACACAUGCAAGUCGAACGGAGAUAUCAUUUUCGAAGCGAUUAGUUUACUAAGAGUGGAGAUGUUGGUAUCUUAGUGGCGGACGGGUGAGUAACGCGUGGGUAACCUGCCUUACACUGGGGGAUAACACUUAGAAAUAGGUGCUAAUACCGCAUAACAGGAGAAGAUGCAUGUCUUUUCCUUAAAAACUCCGGUGGUGUAAGAUGGACCCGCGUCUGAUUAGCUGGUUGGCGGGGUAACGGCCCACCAAGGCGACGAUCAGUAGCCGGCCCGAGAGGGUGAACGGCCACAUUGGGACUGAGACACGGCCCAAUCUCCUACGGGAGGCAGCAGUGGGGAAUAUUGGACAAUGGGGGGAACCCUGAUCCAGCGACGCCGCGUGAGUGAAGAAGUAUUUCGGUAUGUAAAGCUCUAUCAGCAGGGAAAAAAGAAAUGACGGUACCUGACUAAGAAGCCCCGGCUAACUACGUGCCAGCAGCCGCGGUAAUACGUAG